rfam:Daphnia pulex DAPPTscaffold_147_Cont5769, whole genome shotgun sequence.
AGCCUGUUAGCUCAGUUGGUUAGAGCACCUUGCUAAUAACGCGGAGGUCAUGAGUUCGAUUCUUUUACGAGCCA